rnacentral:rRNA from 1 species
GACGAACGCUGGCGGCGUGCCUAAUACAUGCAAGUUGAGCGCUGAAGGUUGGUACUUGUACCAACUGGAUGAGCAGCGAACGGGUGAGUAACGCGUGGGGAAUCUGCCUUUGAGCGGGGGACAACAUUUGGAAACGAAUGCUAAUACCGCAUAAAAACUUUAAACACAAGUUUUAAGUUUGGAAGAUGCAAUUGCAUCACUCAAAGAUGAUCCCGCGUUGUAUUAGCUAGUUGGUGAGGUAAAGGCUCACCAAGGCGAUGAUACAUAGCCGACCUGAGAGGGUGAUCGGCCACAUUGGGACUGAGACACGGCCCAAACUCCUACGGGAGGCAGCAGUAGGGAAUCUUCGGCAAUGGACGAAAGUCUGACCGAGCAACGCCGCGUGAGUGAAGAAGGGUUUCGGAUCGUAAAACUCUGUUGGUAGAGAAGAACGUUGGUGAGAGUGGAAAGCUCAUCAAGUGACGGUAACUACCCAGAAAGGGACGGCUAACUACGUG